rnacentral:tmRNA from 1 species
GGGGGCGACUUGGAUUCGACGUGGGUCACAAAGCUCCAGGUGCAUGUCGAGGUGCGAGUACCUCGUUAAACCGCUUGCAAAACUUAUAGUUGCCAACGACGACAACUACGCACUAGCUGCUUAAAAACCAGCUUUAGUGCCUUCCGCCCGGUACGUGUCUGUGCGUCCGGAUCACGGGAGUCACCUUACACAGAAUCGCGUGGAUGCAUGUCCGGGGCUGAAGCGUUAAACAAAUACUGGACUGGCUGCGUGUUUUCCCUGCCUGUCGGGUAGCGCGCAGUAAGAUUAAAGACAGAAUAAGCAUGUAGAUCCUGUAGUGGAGGGCUUGCGGACGCGGGUUCGAAACCCGCCGCCUCCACCA